UCUUAGUCAUUUAGAAGCCCUUCCAAUUGCACCUCACGAACAGCCCCUCUUUAAGGCUAUUCUCUUGCUAUUUUCAUCUUGGUUUCGAGGAUUUGAUUGUGAAGUGUUGGGAAAGAUUUCUCCAGAUCAUCCUACUCAUUUUCCUCACAUAAAUAAGAGCUGGAUUCUCGGGGUUUGUGGAAUUUAUAGAGGAAAUGCUGUCCGAAUUUCUAUAAAUGACGUGCUAGCUUAGGGUUGGAUUCCUAAGUACCUAUAGCUAAUGAUUGGUAUCUUCUGAUGCUGCUGUAGAUCUUCGGAGGCCUGAGACUUAGGUUUUCAUUAGCUUAUGAAGCGGACAAGGUACAGACGCUCGCUUUGGAGAUCCGCCAGCUUAGAUCAUCUUUCAGCUAUUUUGGACUGCUCCUUUGUUCCGGAGCUAGCUUGUGGUAUAACCUCCUUAUGUUGUGUCCGUAUGUGUUUAUUUGGGUACGGCGGGGCCCUGUCCCGCCACAUAAUACGGCCGUUACUCUUAGAAGUCUGUGGACAUCGGUGUGGGUCUGUUUACAGUUGUUGAUGUGUUUUAUGUUUUGACUUAAGUUGGGGCGUACCCAGUCGUAAUGGCAGCCUUGUCGGCUUGCAUAUGUGUGUAUGUUUGGUAUUUUGUAUAUCGUGGCAGCCUUGUCGGCUUGCUUAGGAAUAUAUAUAAAUGUUGUUGUUUGAUAAGUGCAAC